rnacentral:rRNA from 1 species
UACCAGCACCCCGAGUGGUCGGGACGAUUAUUGGGCCUAAAGCAUCCGUAGCCGGUCCUACAAGUCUUCCGUUAAAUCCACCUGCUUAACAGAUGGGCUGCGGAAGAUACUAUAGGGCUAGGAGGCGGGAGAGGCAAGCGGUACUCAGUGGGUAGGGGUAAAAUCCUCUGAUCCAUUGAAGACCACCAGUGGCGAAGGCGGCUCACUGGACCGGAACUGACGCUGAGGCGCGAAAGCGUGGGGAGCAAACAGG